GUCGUCUUGUGAUGCAGACCAGAGGGUUCUGAAGGAUGGAAAUCCAAGACCAAGCAAGGCUAUGGUAUUAAGAUGUGACGGGAGGAGUUUCUGCAGCCAUAUUGUAGCUGUGGAACGAAAAGUUCUCAAAAUGCUAAAGAUGAUGGCGGAAGGUCAGAAAGGAAACGCGGUCAUCUCCUGAAGACACCCGGGAGCAGCACAGUCUGUUCUGGAACUGCCUGCCACACACGCACAUCUCUCAAGUAAAGAAUGAAGUCAUUACACUUUAAAUGCUUCCUGUUUGUAGUUAUUUUUCGCCAAAUUGAAGCGUUUGUUAAGGUUCUGGAAGUGACAACACUUGGAAGCUCCAGGAACCUCCUGAGAUAAGGUCUCCCCAAGGUGACAUAAGCAGUCACAACUCCUGGGCAGAGGAGACUCCUGACUGGCCAAUUAGCGAGCUGCCUGCAUGUUGCACUGGGAGGCCCAGGAAAAGCAGCUUUUAUGAGUCAUCGCCUACUGGGGACAGCUUUCGGGUGCUGCAGGUUGAGUCAUCUCUGCUUCUCCAAGUACCCUUCACCCAUGCUCUGUAAGGAAGCC
rnacentral:lncRNA from 1 species